UCCGUAGGUGAACCUGCGAAAGGAUCAUUA
rnacentral:rRNA from 1 species